GAAACACCUCGCCCAGCCUAGCGCACUGAGAGCUCUCAUUUUCCCCCCUUGCUCGGGAUGGUGCCACAGGAGGCUGUGCGGGCCCCGCUCCGCUUCGAAUGGAUACAGUUAAGCUAAUGAUCUCGAGAGGAUAUCGUCCUGGAUAAGGGUGGAGCCUACGCCCAAAAACAAGAUUACCUGAAAGAGAAAAGAAAGGGGGAAAACACACAGAGAUACAGUCGGGGAGGCCACAUGAAGAUGGAGGCAGAGACAGGAGUGAUGAGCCUGCAAGCCAAGGAAUGCCAAGGGCUGCCAGCAGCCAUGAGAAGCUGAGAGACACAGAGAACGAGUCCUCUGCCAGAGCCUCCAGAAGGAACUAACCCUGUCAAUACCUUGAUUUCGGACUUCUGGACUCCAGAACUGUGAGAGAAUAUAUUUCUGUUGUUUUAAGCCAUUCAGUUUGUAGUAAUUGGUUACAAUAGCCAUGGGAAGCUAACAUAGGGUCCUUCAACAAUCAAAGCAAAAAAGAGGACCUAUUAGCACAUGGAGUGCAAAGGAGGAAGGAAUGACUGAGCUGUUUGAAAGUGCAGCGGGAUGUCAUGGGCAACCAGAACUCAGGUCCAAAUUCUGCCAGAACUCUCCCUCUGUGUUAGUCUAUUCUCACACUGCUAAUAAAGACAUACCUGAGACUGGCUGAUUUAUAAAGGAAAGAGGUUCAAUUGACUCACAGUUCUGCAGGGCUGCGGGGGGGACUCAGGAAACUUACAAUCAUGACAAAAGUGGAAGCAAACACAUCCUUCUUCACAUGGCAGCAAGGAGAAGUGCCGAGCCAAAGGAGGAAAAGCCCCUUAUAAAACCAUCAGAUUUCAUGAGAACUCACUCACUAUCAUGAGCACAGCAGCAUGGGGAUAACUGCCCCCACGAUUCAAUUACCUCCCACCAGGUCCCUACCAAGACACGUGGAGAUUAUGGGAAUUACAAUUCAAAAUGAGAUUUGGGUGGGGACACAGCCAAACCAUAUCGGUCUCUUUCCUCUCUGCUUCACUGUCAUUGAAAACUGGCAUUCUUCACUUGGCAGCAAACAUUGCUGCUAACAUCUUUUGAGUUUUUUAUUGUAUGGCUUCAAUCAUCUCAGACAUACUAACUUCCUUUCAUAUUUCCAAAUUAUCUGAAAGAAUCUUACUUUCCUAAUUUGGGUCAUGUCUCACCCUGAACUAACCAACAGAGGCUAAGCUGCCAGGAUCUUAUAAAAUAUGACAGCUCCUAAGGAAACCACUUGAAUGAGUGGAGGUGCUGGGCACCCAGGAGUCCAUCACAUGGGAUCUUUUCUGUCUGUGAUAUGAUAGCCAUUUUUUUAAGGACAACAGUGUGGCAUUUGCAAAGACAUUUGUUUUGUGGACAAGACAUGCAAGUGAAUCUGAGCUCUGCCAUUUACUGGAAGUGUGACAUUAGCAAGUCACUUGGCCUUUCUGAGCUUUCUUAUCUUGUAAAAAAUGAGGAUAGAUUGUUUGAUAAACACUCUACACCUAGAAGGAUCUCAAUAAUGUUUGUUAAUAAUGGUCAUAGAAGUAUAGAACUUAAAUGGACCUUAAAGACAGACAAGGUUAAUCACCUUAUUUUUGCAGAUGAGAUUUCAGAAUUUAAGUUGGUGAGAAAACCAGGACAAGAAUUUAGGUUACUUAACUACCAGAUUAGUGUUUCUUUGUUAUUUUAUAUGAUCUGCCCCCAUCCCUGUGGAUAUAAAAUAAGGUCUCAUCUGAAAGGUGUUAUUCAACUAAAGAAAAAGCAGCUUUCUUAGAACAGACACUGAUAUUAGGCUUUAGAUUAGAUAUUAACACAGGGAUAAAGGUGUCAAAAAAGAAAGACCAAAGAAUUGUGUUGGGAGUUAAAACGUGAAGGACACAGUCAAGUGCCUGCAAAAUCUUGCCAUUUUUGAGCCUAUAAACAGUAAUUACUUUGAGACAGCAUUCACACAAAUAAACUAUGAUGGGUUCAGACCCCUCUGAUUAUUAAGCCAUCUUGUUUACAUCCCUCUAUCCUGUGUUUCUUUUCCUUUGGCUAUCCUUAUUAUAUAAAUAAAAACAGUUAGGAAGAGCCUAUUUGCGUCAGUUUGACAAUGAGAAAAUCAGGAGAAAGGUUUUUCCUUCUUUGGGCCAAGCUUUGGUCCUUGUAAGAACAAUUGCUAAUAUGUCUAGUGACUAUAGUUCUGAUCAUUUUUAUGCUUAUAAAAGCCUGAUGCUGAAUGCCUAUGUUUUAAAAUUUUUAUAAGAUCAACUUUGCUUUCAGAUAACCCUCCUUCCUCCACCUCACAAAAACUCACAAGCUGCAACCCUUCUGAUGUCCACUCCCACACAAACCAGCUUCAGGCCUUUUUCAAGAGUGCAGGAAAUUCUACCCCCCAAGUAUGGCACCUUGGCAUGCUGAGUAUUUUAAGCUGAAGGAAACAGAGAAAACCACAGAAGCAGAAAGGUCUUUCUGACCUCUCUUGAAGACCCUCAUGUGACAGGUGUCCUGCCCUACAUCCAGAGAGAAGGAAUGUUCCACAGACAGACUAAGAAGAAUCUGAAGAAUCAGGCCUUACUAAGUGCCCUCCAGUGGAUGCUGUGGGGCACCACCUCCUUGAGGACCAAGGCACUCCAGCUGCCAGGAAUUUGGCUGCUAACCUCACACAGCUGAGCCUUCCAUGAAAAUUGCUCUCUGCCAAAGAGAACUUCCUAGUCCAAGGUCAUGUCUACUCUCCAGAGAUGUGACUGGAGUGAUUUGCACCCGGAUGCCUAGACUCGCCAUCUGCUCAAAGACUGCUCAGAAAGCCCUCCCAUGCAUUCCCCUGCUGCAUACCAGCCCACUCUGCCUGCAGCUGCUGUCUGCAGGACUUCAUAUCUAUGCCACACUGUGUAAAAGCUGUGCUUCAAGAAAUCACAAAAACAUUUUCCUGCACCUACUACACAGCCUGAGUGCGGCAUAAGUUGACCUUGCUUGCUAAGAAAUGGGGCAAGAAAUGCUUUUUUGUGUGUGUCAUGUCUGUUUGUUUUUCAAUUAAGAGAGGAAAGCAUUAGGCAGAUGGAAUGUACAUGUGAGGAUGAGGAGACAGAAAACAAGUAGCCCUUUCCAUCAAGAUAGAGGGUUUUCUGGGGUUGCUGGCUAUUGAAUGUCACUCCUGAUUUCUCUUUCCAAGGCACUGUACCACCAGCCUACUGAGAUUGUGUGGGAGCUUUCAUGGGGGUUGUAUUUCACUGAUG
ensembl:lncRNA MIR100HG mir-100-let-7a-2-mir-125b-1 cluster host gene